CAAACUUUGAUGCUUAUAGAUUGUCGCCAAGACAACCUGUAUUUCUUGUGUUUAGUGUUCUGUUUGUUUUCGUGCCUUUGACACGUUUAAUAACCGCCUGUGAUGUAAGAAUGAAAUAUUUAUUUGUCUAAGCGGAUGCAGCUUCUUGUAGCUGGCUGUACGAGAGCUUUCCACAAUUUGACGCGAUGUUGUUAAAUCACAAGUUUGCAGAUUCAGCAGUGAUUACAAUAAGCUGAACAUUUAUUGUUUAGGGAUGUCACAAUUUCCUGAGACGGAGGCAUCUCUGCACCACAAAGGAGACUGCGGCACUAUGCAGCCUGAACAGCAUGACAAAGCAUCUGAUCUGCCUGCUUUGACAAGAUGUGGCUGGGCCUGCAGAAAGAGUGUAAGCACACUACUGUGUUGCUGAUCAGUGCUGGUGCUGAUCUCUACGUCUGAGUUGGCCUCACAACGUCCAGGCGCCACUGUGCUUUGCUUCAUUGACAAGGUGUGGCUGGGCCUGCAGAAAAGCUGUAAGCAGACUGCAGUGUUGCUGAUCAGUGCUGAUCUCUACGUCCGAGUUGGUCCCACAAUAUCCAGGCACCACAGUGCUUUCACAAGGUUCACAAUCGAAAUGGGUUAUUUAUUUGUGCUAGUAAGUGGAUGUGGGUAAACCAAGCCAAAACGGACAGCACGUUUGCCAGGGAGAUUGCCCGAUGCUUGUGGCAGGCACAGGAAUUAAUCCACAGGAGUGUUACGAGCAAAAGUAUGUAUGCGAAAGCUAAAGGAAGGUGGCGAGGCCAAGCCAGCGUUGACACCACAAAAUCUUGGUGCAUAUCUAAAGGCAUACGAGCACUUUGUUUCAAAAACGCCAAGCACCGUGGAUACAGAGGCAAGGAGGCUGAAGGACCUGAACAAGCACCUGGCCACCAUGCUUCGGGAUGCAAAAUAAAGAUGGUUUGUGUUAA